UUCCGUUUGCCUACUUAUCAAUUCCGUCCCCGACAAUAUGGAACUCAUGGGGUACAAUGCCGCUCCAGUGCAGUGUGUAGCUGUGCUGUCCCCCAAGCGUCACCGGGAACGACGCCGAACGCGCCCACGUCUCCGUCAUCUUCACUGCAGGAUUGUCGUCUCUGAUCAUGAAGGGGUGGGUCUUGCCGUGGUCUCCGGCACUGCCUAGUCGUAUUGACAACUGUACGGGAACAUUAGUUAGUGUGUGUUACAUCGAUUAUACGAUGAAGUCAUGGAUGUUUUAAUGGUUUGUCUUAUGUCCAAGUGCACUCAGCAAUACUCCAGGAAUAUGACGGCGGUCUAUAAAUAAUCGAGUCUAGGCCAGACAAUCCAGUGAUUAAAAUCAUGAGCAUCGAUCUACGCAAUUGGGAUACAAUGACGCCUAUUCAACCAAGUCUCCUCUUGCGAAGAGCUCGGGUUGCUGGGGACCUAUGUUCUCCCUUAGGCUAAUCGGCUUAAUGGGAGGUACAAAAAGCCCGAAGUUCUACACGGAUUGUCAACACACACUGGACAUGCUGAACCUACUGAGCCGAACUCCUGGGGACAUAUCUGCAUGUUCCAGUUGUCCCGUCUGUAGCACCUGGAGUUGUGGUAGAACGACCCCGGCUUCACGACCGUUGCCCCCGGGUACCCAGUGAGGGAGCCAUCGGUGUCCCUGAUGGUGGCGGUCUUGUCGCCGUCGUUGUUGCCAAAGCCGUGGAUGGUCUCAUUGCCGUCAUACACGCGGUUACCCGUUGA